UGUAAUGGCUCGUGACGUAUUGGCCAUCCCAGCUUCAACAGUGCCUUCCGAGUCGGCUUUUAGCACCGGAGGACACGUCAUCAGUGAUUACAGGAGCAGCCUCGCACCUAUUACCAUUGAGGCUUUGAUAUGUCUACAUGAUUGGUUUAAGGCAGCCGGUAUGUAUUUUUUCGCUUAAGUGCUUUCCUUUGGCUCAUGUAAUAUUUUCGUGUGGAAAAUAAAAUUUCUCUUGUACUUUCAGACGCUAUGGAAAAUGACGACUAGGAAUUUGUUUUGGAGCUUUCCUUGCAUCAUAACAGUUCAGUCCCAGUUGAGUUGGAGAUCUUGAAGAAACAAGGAUGCUGAGAUUAUGUUAAGACCUUAAAGAAAUACAAGCAAAGUUCAAGAACACCAGUUCAGCAAACAUCAUCGAUCCGGCCACGCUGCUGUUAUGAACCAUGGCCCUCUUGAUUUCCAUGAUUCAGAUUGUGUACUUUGAGUGAUGUGUAGCAAAUGUAUGCACGGACUUGACUGCGACCCAUGGAAUGAAACUUUUUUAUCACUUGGUUUC